GACGAACGCUGGCGGCGUGCUUAACACAUGCAAGUCGAACGGAAAGGCCCUGCUUUUGUGGGGUGCUCGAGUGGCGAACGGGUGAGUAACACGUGAGUAACCUGCCCUUGACUUUGGGAUAACUUCAGGAAACUGGGGCUAAUACCGGAUAGGAGCUCCUGCUGCAUGGUGGGGGUUGGAAAGUUUCGGCGGUUGGGGAUGGACGCGCGGAUUAUCAGCUUGUUGGUGGGGUAGUGGCUUACAAAGGCUUUGACGGGUAGCCGGACUGAGAGGGUGACCGGCCACAUUGGGACUGAGAUACGGCCAUGACUGCCACGGAGGCCAGCAGUGGGGACUAUUGCACAAUGGGCGAAGGCUUGAUGCAGAAACGCCGCGUGGGGGAUGAAGGCCUUCGGGUUGUAACCCGCUUUGGCUUGUGACGAGGCGUCAGUAACGGUACCGGGUAAAGAAGCACCGGCUAACUAAGU
rnacentral:rRNA from 1 species